rnacentral:lncRNA from 1 species
CUCGGACAGAAGAGGGAGUUGAAAUGGGGACCUUCCCAGCUUCAGCCCCCAGGAGAGAUGACUUUUCUUUCUUUAUCAGGCUACAACUUUUAAAAGGAGAAAAAUAUUUUUAAGAAAGAAAAAGCAGAAAAAAAGAAAACUUUUAAAGGAUGGAAGGGAUCCAGCUCUUUAAGCCACAAUAAAACUGCUCAUCACUCAGGAAGUGUGUUAGCCAAAACUACGAAAAGAAAUUCCUUCUUGACCGCCGUCGUUCCCAUGGUUGCAGUUCAUCCCCAAGUGCAGACCACAGACACAGAAAUCUGCGUCCCCCAGGCAUCUGCACAGCUAAGAAAUCGGAAGCGGCUGCCAGCCCCUCACCCUCGGGACUUUUACUGGUCCUGCGCCCAAUGAGCAGGUGAGGGGCGGCACAGAAAGACCUUCAUCGCCUUUAAUGGCUCUCAGAGUAUAAGAGCUCCCGGGCACUGUGGGACCUGGGUUCUGAGGUUCCCCUCGGGCGGCUUCCGGCCCGGCCCAGGGAACCAGCAGCUGCGGCUCUCCACAGAGUGCACGGGCAGAGGACCCUGCAGACCCCUGCUGAGAGGAAGCCGGAGACACGGCCUCAGGUGCAGGCCUUAGCUCAGCACACAGCUCUAUCUGCAGAGUGGCUCCCACAGCCUGGGCGUCACUGAGGAGACACACGCUGCACAGGGCCCGCUGGCCGGGCCCAACCUGGCCAAGGGAGGUGAUCACGCACCCAACCACAGGGCGUGCGGAAACUGGGGUGACUCCCUGGCACCUGGACGGGCUCAGAAGGGCCUUUUCAGUCCGUCCUGGGUGUCCAGCCUGUGACCACCAGCAGCUCCCUCCUGCUUGGACCUGAAGGCAGCUCCCUGCAGCAUCCAAGGACAUGGGUCACCCCUGCCCACCUGCCCUGGGCCUGGUCUCAAGUCAAAGCCGCCAGAGGUCCCCGUCCAGAAGCAGCGCUGUUUCCUCGCUGCCCCGCAUCCCCGGUGGCCUGGCCUGCCGGUCGCCCUCCAGUGAGACCCCACUCUGAGGCCUCAGGCUGGCACAGGCACCGAAACGCCCCCAAACGCCGCAGAAGCAGAGGAAAGGACACCUGCUUUUCAGCAAAGCCACUCCCUGGGUCACUCCUCCACGGGGCAGAGAUCUGUGAGAACCAUAAACUUGCAUUUUCUUCAGAAAGCACCUUCUUCUAUCUAACUGUGGAAGCCUUCUUAAAUAAGUACAAUACUGUAAUGUAAAUGCUAACUUCGGCCCCCAGUACACUCGCCAGCAAGGAAAGGAAUUCACAGGCGAGCACUCCACGUCAGCGCUGAAAAGAACUAGGAUGAUCCGUGUGCUCAGGCAGAGCGAUCUAAAGCAACACAUGGUAGGGACUGUCAGCGGACGCUGCCUCACUGUGAGCCUGCAGGAAAGGACCUGAGUGUAUUCAGAUGGUGACAGUAAGUUCUAACAAACUUCCCACACGCAGAUAUAAAUCCAAUCACAUCAGUAAAAAUAUCAGUAAAAACUGACUCUUACCCAAAGGGAUUACUGGCAAAGGCUUCGAGCCAGGGAGACCAAGGAGAGCACCCACUCGGGGAGGCCCAGAGGGCAGGGUGGGCUGCAGCUCCUGAGGGACCUGGAGCAGCUGAGGCUGAGGCGGCAGCACGGGCAGCGAGGCAGAGUGACUGUAGUGGAGCAGGACUAUACUCCCAGCAGUCUGGGGGGCUGAGGAAGGAGGAUCCAAGCACAAGCCCAACCUGGGCAACUUAGCGAGACCUUGUCUCCAAAUAAAAAGGGCUGGGGAUGCAGCUCAGUGGGAAGGCCCUGGGUUGGCUCCCUGCACCCCCGACACACACAUGCACACUCACACACAAGUGACUGCAGGACGUGUGCUCUCUGCCCCACCAGCAAGGGGAGCUCCAUGAGGAAGCUCAGUGAGUGUGAGGUUCGGCCACCAGCUGACGCAUGGGCGUUCGCCGCCGGGACAGACACCCUCAGGAAGCAGCCCCAGCCAGGACGCCAUGUCCCAGCCCACCGGCAGGCAUCCUGGACUGGAUCCCAGCCCCUCGAGCCACUGUGGGCUCUGGGCUCAGGACGCGAGGUGCCGCCCUGCAGGCCACCCGGGCCCCCCGGGCCCCGUGCCUGACCUUGGCCUUCCUGCUGCCCCCCGCCUUUUAAAGGUUUUCCUGGCAGCCUUGCCAUUUUGCUUCUGGUAGUGGCUUUUACAGAACCGGCUCUUUGUUUACGGGCCAGGACGCCACAAUUGCAGCAGCACAUGAGAUGUUCUAGAUGUUCCCGGCAGCUUCUCUUCAGCAUCAAAUAUUAAACUCCUGCCAUCGGCAGAGUUUGGACCUGGGGUGGGGCCAGCAGGAAGAGCUCGGGCGCAGAGACCUUGGCCUGACCUCAGAUCCAGGCAGGAGGGUGCUCGCCCGUGUCCCGCCCCAGGGACCGAGCUCCGAGAGAGCAAGCCAGCCCAGCGUCCGGCUCUGGCUCAAGGGCCCCAGGGCUGGGCUGGAAACAGAAUCCAACUGUGCCUCUCGAGGCCUCCAGCUGAAGCAGCUCUUUUCUUUUUCUUUUGCCUUUUCUUUUCUUCUUCUUCUUCUUUUAUUUUUUCUAAUUUUGAGACAAGGUCCUCCUGAGUCCCUUAGCUGCCCGAGGCUAGGCUCAAACUUACGAUCCUCCUGCUUCAGCAUCCCGGAGUGCUGGGGUCACAGGUGUGCAGCACCUCGCCUGCUGAGCAGCUCCUGGGCAGCAUUUCUGAGUCUCCACCGACUGUCACCUGAGCCCGAGGACUGCACACCGGCCCUGGAGGCCACUGUGCCUGCAGACGGCAAAAGGCGACACAUAGACACCAGGCAGUGACGGUAACACUGGCCGGGCCCACGCACUUCCAGCUUUGCUCCACCAUGCCCUUCCACCAUGACAUUCCUGCCUUGGAGCAGCCGAUCAGGGACUGAAUCCCCUGCAACUUUCCAUCUGCAUUUCCUGUUAUUCUCCAAUAAACAAAACGACAAGUCCUGAACCCAGGAUGACCACCCCAGGCGGAGGCCCGGGCUGAGCGGCUCCCUGGCUGUGGACAGGCUCCUGGGGACGGCCGAACCCUCCUCCUCUGCCCACAGACAGAGCCCGAAGCGCGUGUUCAGCGCAUGCCCUACCUGCACACUGCCACAGGACUACCUCGAAGCCGUCCCUGUCGGCGUGGUGCUUUGGGCCUCAAGUGUCUCCCAAGCACCGCUGUCUCAGGGGUUUGUCACGGUGACGGAAAGCUGGCCGAUGCGGACAUCUGGAGCCGCGCAGAGGAGGAUCUGCUCGGUGUCACUUCGGCACAGCCUGGGGGUCCUGUCCUAGGGCGCUGGCUUCUCAAGCUGGAGCAGACCUGGCCCAGCCUCUUGUCACCAAUCGCCGGCCACCUUGUUUGGAGGAUUCGAGUUCUGGGGUGCCAACCUAACCCGGCUCAACCCACAGAGACCAGAGCUGGGCCAAGGCUGAGUGUGAAGUAAGCCGCAUGGCGACACCUGGGCAAUGGCCUUCCCUGCCCCGCUGUGUCCCCGAGUCCUCUCCCCUCGUGGGCAGGUUCCAGUUUAAGGAGGUGGGAGGCUUGCCCCACAGAGCUGCAUGCGGCCUCAGGAAUGUGGAUUUGUGAACAGGGUUCUGGCUGCCCAGGGCCCUUCCAGGCUCUCAUCCUGUUCAAAGAAUUGUAUGGAGAGGCUUCACACGCAUUAAAGGUGCGCGGGGGCCUGGGACUCAGCUGCUCCCCUACUGCACGGCCUGCGUGGGAAGAAGCCCACUCCCCAGGCCACUGCAGUGCAUGGGAGGAAGGGCCCUGAGAGGACGUCCCCUCCCUGGACAACCAUCUGCUAGGCUGCCAGGGGCUGCCAGGAAGACACAGGCCCAGAGGGCCAGAGAGUUCCGGACGCCGUCUGGCGUUCCCACUGUGGGAAGGCACUGACCUGGCCAUUGCUCCUCGGAGAUCCUGGGCAGAGAGAUGGGGGCGGCACAGAAAGCUCACCCACAGGCCCGAGGCCUGUUUUUAUAAAUAAAGCUUUAUUGGAACACUGACGCUAUCCUUCCUUUGCAUCUUGUCUGUGGCUGCUUUCCUGCUACAGGAACAGUGGAAUCCUUGGGGCAACCAGGCUCAGGAUGUUUGCCAGACGGCAGGCGAUGCUGUCCCCCAGAAGAUGUAGCUUGUCCUGGCCGGUGGCUGACUCUGCCGUGGGUAUGCACACCAGCUCCUGUGUGGGAUUCCAGCGAUGAGGCAGAAAGGCCGCACGCGUUGUGGCAGCAGCAAAGGCCACUUGCCUGUGUGGCCAGGAUGUGACAGAGAAGGAAGAGAAGGGCCCGGUCCCCCACGUCUCCAAGGGCUCCCCAGGGACCUCGCCCUCAGCCUAUCACUGGGCUUGUCCGGCCUGGAGGAGAAUUUCUGCAGAACCAGUGAGCUCAUCCACUUGAGUGAGGGCACGGGAGGCCAGGAGGAGGCCCUGAGCGCUGUCCACCGCGAGCCAUGUUGGGGUGAACAGGAGUGCCUGCUGGAUCCAAGCCUGCCCCAGAGAAUACAAGAUCUGGGAGCUCUUCUGAGGAAAGAGACGGAACCCCAGCUGGUCACUGAGCAGAUGCUGCAGCCCCCCGGUGGGUCCAUGCACACCAGGAGCUCCGCUCGCCAGGUGCUGGCGGCCUCCUCCCGGUGUUUGCUGGUGAAGACGAGCCUGGACUUCCUUCAAAGUACGGCUGUCGCUGGCACAGGAGUGGGGGUUGGGGGUGACAGCUUGAGGGGGUUGUUUUUCCUUGUUAGCAAGUUCUGCGUUUAACAUUUAAAAUUAUGACAACUGAUGCAAUGUUUUCUUGAAAUGGUGAAGCUAUUUUAAACCAUUCAGCUGGACAGGAGUUUGUAGUUUAUACUGGUACACGUUUAAAACACUUCGCAAUUAAUUAUUGGGCUUAAAAAAUUAAAGCUAUAAUCUGGGCGUGGUGCUGCACACCUGUAAUCCCAGCACUUGGGAGGCUGACACAGGAGUAUCGCUGUGAGUUUGAGGCCAGCCUGGGCAAUAUGGUGAGACCCGUGUCAAUCCCCCCAGAUCAAAGCUGUAAAUUUAUUCCGAUUUCUGUCUUGCACUUCAUUUCAGUGGAAAUAAAGGGCCGGCUAGGAGCACUCUGACUGGCAGUGACGAGACAAUGACAGCUUUUGCUGAAGGCGAAACCUGCCGCCGUCAUUCUUGGGGAUCGGUAGCCUUUCCCCAGUGGGCUUGAGGCCCGGCGCGAGGUCCGUUCUUCACCAGGAGUGCGAAUUCUUCUCUCUAAAUGCAUGUUGACGUUUAGUUGGCACACAGUAAUCACACGCAUGUGGGUUUCGGUGCCGCACUUCGGCACGCGGCACGGAAUGAUCCGUGACUGACGCAGCCAUCGCCUCAAAUGGCAGUCGUUUCUUGGGGGAGGCCCCCGCAUCCCCUCCCUCACUGUUCUGAAAUACUCAGCUGAUCACGGCCCACCACACUUAUCCAGCCCUGCUGUCCUCCCACCCGCCUGCACCCCAACGCCCACGACCGCCCCUCUCCCCGUCCGGGGCUCGGGAGUCUCAGUGUCCCCUUCUUCUAGGAGAAACCUCUUAGCUGUGAUAAAAACAUCCCACGAGUGUUUGCUUUGUUUUGUUUUGGUUGGGUUUGGCGUUGUCUUUCUGCCCUGGCUCUUUCACCUGGAGGGGCGGCCCCCAGUUCCGUGAGAAAUGGAAGGCGGCCGCCCUGAAGAAGCCGAGCGCGCUCUCUGCCCAGGACCCCAGGCUGCAGCCCGCGUGCCCACAGGCGGGAUGCGCACGGCGCCCAGCUGUCGGGAGGGGGGUCCCGGGGCGCCAGGCGUGGACAGUGACAGGGCCGGCAGGGUCCACGGGGCGGGGAGGGGACGGUGUCUGGGGCUGAGGGCCAUGGGGCAGCAGAAUGAAUUAGCAGCUUCUCGUUCUCCUCCCGGAAUCCCCCAGGCCCUGGGACUUUUUGACCAGGAUGACGACCUUCAAGGACUGGGUGGUCGCUCUGACCACAGUGCAGAGUGGGGGAAGGAAAGGAGACGUGUCAGGAGGAGAUUCCGUGCCCGCCUGGACCAAGGAGCGUCAGAAGAAUGGGGAGGAGAAGGCGGGACCCAAGGCUAUUCAGGGAACCAAGUCAAGAGGCCCACAUUCAUCCCUGACAGCAUUAUUUAUCAGCAAUACACGUGUUUGUUUUGUUUUAUUUUGUUUUGGAGACAGGGUCUCACUAUAUCAUCCAGGCUGGUCUUGAACUCCCAGCAAUCCUCUUGCUUCGGCCUCCAGGUAACUAGGAUUACAGGUUUGCACCACCAUAUCUAGUUUAUACGUAUUUUUUGUUAUGUAUCAGCUAACAAAUUUAAUUUUAAAAACAAAUCCUGUUCUUUAAAACUUUUGUAAAACCAGGUGUUGUAAAA